CCUACGGGAGGCAGCAGUGGGGAAUCUUGCGCAAUGGGCGAAAGCCUGACGCAGCAACGCCGCGUGCGGGAUGAAGGCCUUCGGGUUGUAAACCGCUUUCAGCAGGGAAGAAAUUGACGGUACCUGCAGAAGAAGCCCCGGCCAACUACGUGCCAGCAGCCGCGGUAACACGUAGGGGGCGAGCGUUGUCCGGAUUUAUUGGGCGUAAAGAGCUCGUAGGCGGUUCACUAAGUCGGGUGUGAAACCUCCAGGCUCAACCUGGAGACGCCACCUGAUACUGGUGUGACUAGAGUCCGGCAGGGGAGUGUGGAACUCCUGGUGUAGCGGUGAAAUGCGCAGAUAUCAGGAAGAACACCAGCGGCGAAGGCGGCACUCUGGGCCGGUACUGACGCUGAGGAGCGAAAGCGUGGGUAGCAAACAGGAUUAGAUACCCUGGUAGUCCACGCCGUAAACGUUGGGCACUAGGUGUGGGUCUCAACCAACGAGAUCCGUGCCGCAGCUAACGCAUUAAGUGCCCCGCCUGGGGAGUACGGCCGCAAGGCUAAAACUCAAAUGAAUUGACGG
rnacentral:rRNA from 1 species